rnacentral:rRNA from 1 species
AGUGAACGCUGGCGGUAGGCCUAACACAUGCCAGUCGAACGGCAGCACAGUAAGAGCUUGCUCUUACGGGUGGCGAGUGGCGGACGGGUGAGGAAUACAUCGGAAUCUACUUUUUCGUGGGGGAUAACGUAGGGAAACUUACGCUAAUACCGCAUACGACCUACGGGUGAAAGCAGGGGAUCUUCGGACCUUGCGCGAUUGAAUGAGCCGAUGUCGGAUUAGCUAGUUGGCGGGGUAAAGGCCCACCAAGGCGACGAUCCGUAGCUGGUCUGAGAGGAUGAUCAGCCACACUGGAACUGAGACACGGUCCAGGCUCCUACGGGAGGCAGCAGUGGGGAAUAUUGGACAAUGGGCGCAAGCCUGAUCCAGCCAUACCGCGUGGGUGAAGAAGGCCUUCGGGUUGUAAAGCCCUUUUGUUGGGAAAGAAAAGCAGCAGGUUAAUACCCCGCUGUUCUGACGGUACCCAAAGAAUAAGCACCGGCUAACUUCGUGC